UACGUAGGUGGCAAGCGUUGUCCGGAUUUACUGGGCGUAAAGAGCGCGCAGGCGGUCGUCCAAGGCGAAUGUGAAAGCCCCCGGCUCAACUGGGGAGGGUCAUUCGAUACUGUUCGACUCGAAGGCAGGAGAGGGAAGUGGAAUUCCGGGUGUAGUGGUGAAAUGCGUAGAUAUCCGGAGGAACACCAGUGGCGAAGGCGACUUUCUGGCCUGUUCUUGACGCUGAGGCGCGAAAGCUAGGGGAGCAAACGGG
rnacentral:rRNA from 1 species